AGAGUUCAUCCAGCUGGGAGAGGAUUUAUUGGGAAAGCAAUGUCUUGGGCUUAUGCAAAGGUCCAGAGAUGAGAAGAGGCAGGGUGUGCUCAGGACACCAGAGAAGAUUAGCAUGGCUGGAAAACUGAGUGUGCUGGGCCAUGUGGUAAGUCUGCUCCAGGGAGGCAACAGUGCUGUAAGUCAGGGGCAAGACGCCUGUUUAUUACACAUUUGUGGCCACCUGACCUUGAAGACAGUCUCUCCCAAUGGCCAGCAGCCUGUGGCUAGCAAACAGAAACAGCACCUGAAAUGCCCUCAGCAAACCACUUACAAGCUGUUUAACACAAUCCUCAUUAUUUUACCACCAGAGUAGAACUGUUGCUUCCUGUUACGGUGGCCUGCUGAGAUAACUGGUCCUGGGGAAGAUGGCUCCCUGGACCAGAGCCGUGGCUACUGGGACAGCAGAGUUUAGUGGCUGAAAGUGGAGGCACACCUGCUUCCUACCGCCACCACUCACUGACUGCAAUAUGGGACACAGCUUCUUGAACACUAGCACUCAAUGGUGCUUACCACACAGAGCUGGCAUACAGAUUAUGCAAAGUGCAGAGAUGAAGACGGAAAUCAAGGCAGGGAGCCAAAUGUUUCCAAGCUAUGCAGGAGGCUCAGCCUGAGACCAUAGGGUCCAAAGACACUCAAGCAACAAUGGAGAGCCACAAACCAACAAUGGAGAGCCAUCAGGCAACAAUAGAGAGCUACCAGGCAAUAGUGGAGAGCCACUUAAGAAUCAGAGCAUCUAAGACCUUAGAGCCACAAAAAGUGACUAAGGCAGACUACACCAGGGCCAGCCAAGGGCUGACUUGCUCUUACCUCUGUACUGAAAAACCUGGAAGAAAUGACACUAGACUGCCUCCCAGGAGCCCAGAACCCCAUGCUGUCCACACACCUAGUUCACCAGAAUGGUGCCUUUGUGUCCUCGGUGUCUCAUUCUGGAAGUCAUGGGGAGCUCUGGAUCCAGAUACCUGUGGACUCUAGAAUGUCACUGAGGCGGCUUCCUGCUCAGCUGGCCUGCACCGACCAGCAGGCUAGAUUCAAACCAGGUAAAAGAAGAAUAAAUGCUACUUUGUGACUUGACCCCA
rnacentral:lncRNA from 1 species